rnacentral:rRNA from 1 species
UACAGAGGUCCCAAGCGUUAUCCGGAUUCACUGGGUUUAAAGGGUGCGUAGGUGGGCAAGUAAGUCAGUGGUGAAAUCUCCGGGCUUAACCCGGAAACUGCCAUUGAUACUAUUUGUCUUGAAUACUGUGGAGGUCAGCGGAAUAUGUCAUGUAGCGGUGAAAUGCUUAGAUAUGACAUAGAACACCAAUUGCGAAGGCAGCUGGCUACACAAAUAUUGACACUGAGGCACGAAAGCGUGGGGAUCAAACAGG